UACGUAGGUGGCAAGCGUUGUCCGCAUUUACUGGGCGUAAAGGGAGCGUAGGCGGAUUUUUAAGUGAGAUGUGAAAUACCCGGGCUUAACUUGGGUGCUGCAUUUCAAACUGGAAGUCUAGAGUGCAGGAGAGGAGAAUGGAAUUCCUAGUGUAGCGGUGAAAUGCGUAGAGAUUAGGAAGAACACCAGUGGCGAAGGCGAUUCUCUGGACUGUAACUGACGCUGAGGCUCGAAAGCGUGGGGAGCAAACAGGAUUAGAUACCCG
rnacentral:rRNA from 1 species